UUUUUGCGUUCUGUAUCCAACCAGUCCCAAUGCUCUUGUGAGGAUUCGGCAAACUACUGAAGGUGAGGUCUCUUAGCUGGCCUUCCAGAUGACACUUCCUCUCUGUACCAAGCGUGGUAUCCGGGUGAAACUUCCCCUUUUUCCCGAUUCAGUACACAAGUAUCUACCUCUAGGUAUUGACAUUGGCUCCAGAUCUGGUGGACCCUUACUUCAGGGAAUUGGCCAUCAGGACCGAUAUCAAUCACUUGGGUACUAAGAUCCUAAUCUUUUGG
rnacentral:lncRNA from 1 species